rnacentral:rRNA from 1 species
GAUGAACGCUGGCGGCGUGCCUAAUACAUGCAAGUCGAGCGAACAGACGAUGAGCUUGCUCCUCUGACGUGAGCGGCGGACGGGUGAGUAACACGUGUAUAACGUACCUAUAAUACUGAUAUAACUUCGGGAAACCGGAGAUAAUACCGGAUAAUAUAUUGAAGCGCAUGGUUGGAUAGUGAAAGACGGUUGUGCGGUAUCGUAUAGAGGGAUCCGCGCCGCUUUGCCGGGUUGGGAAGGUAACGGCUUACCAAGGCGACGAUGCGUAGCCGACCUGAGGGGGUGUACGGCCACACUGGAGCUGAGCCACGGCCCAGACUCCUACGGACGGCAGCAGCAGGGAAUCUACCGCACUGGGCGAAAGCCUGACGAAGCAACGCCGCGUGGGUGAUGAAGGUCUUCGGAUCGUAAAACUCUGUUCUUGGGGAAGAACAAAUGUGUAAGUAACUAUGCACGUCUUGACGGAACCUAAUCAGAAAGCCACGGCUACCUACGU